rnacentral:rRNA from 1 species
GAUGAACGCUGGCGGCGUGCCUAAUACAUGCAAGUCGAGCGAAUGGAUUAAGAGCAUGCCCUUAUGAAGUUAGCGGCGGACGGGUGGGUAACACGUGGGUAACCUGCCCAUAAGACUGGGAUAACUCCGGGAAACCGGGGCUAAUACCGGAUAAUAUUUUGAACUGCAUGGUUCAAAAUUGAAAGGUGGCUUCGGCUGUCACUUAUGGAUGGACCCGCGUCGCAUUAGCUAGUUGGUGAGGUAACGGCUCACCAAGGCAACGAUGCGUAGCCGACCUGAGAGGGUGAUCGGCCACACUGGGACUGAGACACGGCCCAGACUCCUACGGGAGGCAGCAGUAGGGAAUCUUCCGCAAUGGACGAAAGUCUGACGGAGCAACGCCGCGUGAGUGAUGAAGGCUUUCGGGUCGUAAAACUCUGUUGUUAGGGAAGAACAAGUGCUAGUUGAAUAAGCUGGCACCUUGACGGUACCUAACCAGAAAGCCACGGCUAACUACGUGCCAGCCGCCGCAGUAACAC